rnacentral:rRNA from 1 species
UUUUUUUGCCUGUAUACCUCCGUCAAGUUAAUCUUUAAAAGAAUUAGCGCCUCCCUCCGGGAAAACGUCAGGUCAAGGUGCAGCACAAAAAGGUAUUGAUUGGCUGCAAAUAAAAAACAAAUAUAUGUAUAUUAUAGUACUUGAAAGUAAUUUUUUUUUAAAAAGAAAAAAUGAAAUUUUUCCUAGAAGAUGUACAAAUCGCCCGUCA